UUGACCUCGGAUCAGGUAGGGAUACCCGCUGAACUUAAGCAUAUCAAUAAGCGGAGGAAAAGAAACCAACCGGGAUUGCCUCAGUAACGGCGAGUGAAGCGGCAAGAGCUCAAAUUUGAAAUCUGGCCCCCUCGGGGUCCGAGUUGUAAUUUGCAGAGGAUGCUUCGGGUGCGGCCCCCGUCUAAGUGCCCUGGAACGGGCCGUCAUAGAGGGUGAGAAUCCCGUCUGGGACGGGGUGUCCGCGUCCGUGUGAAGCUCCUUCGACGAGUCGAGUUGUUUGGGAAUGCAGCUCUAAAUGGGUGGUAAAUUUCAUCUAAAGCUAAAUACUGGCCGGAGACCGAUAGCGCACAAGUAGAGUGAUCGAAAGAUGAAAAGCACUUUGAAAAGAGAGUUAAAAAGCACGUGAAAUUGUUGAAAGGGAAGCGCUUGCGACCAGACUCGCCCGCGGGGUUCAGCCGGCAUUCGUGCCGGUGUACUUCCCCGUGGGCGGGCCAGCGUCGGUUUGGGCGGCAGGUCAAAGGCCCCCGGAAUGUAGUGCCCUUCGGGGCACCUUAUAGCCGGGGGUGCAAUGCUGCCAGCCUGGACCGAGGAACGCGCUUCGGCACGGACGCUGGCAUAAUGGUUGUAAACGACCCGUCU
rnacentral:rRNA from 1 species